UGCAGGGUCAAUGACAGGCUUCUGAAUAUGGCCUCCGCCAAACCACUAAGAAGACUAAGUCACCUUUAAAUACUGACUCGGUCAUACCUCACCUACCCAAACAAAGAGAAAAGGGCAGCUUUUACCUGCUUAAGCCCUGUCCAUCUUGCCUCAGCCGGGUCGGGUCCUAUAACAUGUGGGGAUAGUCCCUGGGCCUGCGCCCCCCCCAGGCCUGGGCAUAAUGCCAUUAGUGGUGUUUUGUUGACAGCAGGCAACGGUAAAUGAGGCCCCGCUUUAAUCAGCGGCAUGCCGGGCUGG